rnacentral:rRNA from 1 species
UGCGUAGGGACCAAGCGUUGUUCGGAUUUACUGGGCGUAAAGCGUGCGUAGGCGGUUCGUUAUGUCUGCUGUGAAAUCCCCGGGCUCAACCUGGGAAUGGCAGUGAAAACUGGCGGGCUUGAGUGUGGCAGAGGGGGGUGGGAAUUCCGCGUGUAGCAGUGAAAUGCGUAGAGAUGCGGAGGAACACCGAUGGCGGAGGCAGCCCCCUGGGCUAACACUGACGCUGAGGCACGAAAGCGUGGGGAGCAAACAGG